rnacentral:rRNA from 1 species
GACGAACCGUCCAAACGUUAUUCGGAUUUACUGGGCUUAAAGGGUGCGUAGGCGGCUCAGAAAGUAGGGUGUGAAAGCCCUCGGCUCAACCGAGGAAUUGCGCCCUAAACUACUGGGCUCGAGGAACGCAGAGGUAAGCGGAACUUAGGGUGGAGCGGUGAAAUGCGUUGAUAUCCUAAGGAACACCAGGAGCGAAAGCGGCUUACUGGGCGUUUUCUGACGCUGAGGCACGAAAGCCAGGGGAGCGAACGGG